GACGAACGCUGGCGGCGUGCUUAACACAUGCAAGUCGAACGAUGAAGCUGGAGCUUGCUCCGGUGGAUUAGUGGCGAACGGGUGAGUAACACGUGAGCAAUCUGCCCUUGACUCUGGGAUAACUGCGGGAAACUGUAGCUAAUACCGGAUAUGAGGCUCCAAGGCAUCUUCGGGUCUGGAAAGAAUUUCGGUCAAGGAUGAGCGCGCGGCCUAUCAGCUUGUUGGUGAGGUAAUGGCUCACCAAGGCAACGACGGGUAGCCAGCCGGAGAGGGUGACCGGCCACACUGGGACUGAGACACGGCCCAGACUCCUACGGGAGGCAGCAGUGGGGAAUAUUGCACAAUGGGCGAAAGCCUGAUGCAGCAACGCCGCGUGAGGGAUGAAGGCCUUCGGGUUGUAAACCUCUUUUAGCAGGGAAGAAGCGAAAGUGACGGUACCUGCAGAAAAAGCACCGGCUAACUACGUGCCAGCCGCCGCCGUAA
rnacentral:rRNA from 1 species